UGGGCGAUCGGGUUGAAGGAGCUAAAGGACAAGCGGGAGGCGGCGAAAGAGAAGAUGCCAGAGAUGAAUGAUGGCAGUGGGACUGGGUGAGGCCGAAGAUGGGGAGGAGAUGACUCGGGAUGUAACGCUACGACCGCCCCACUAUUAUCUUACGGUCAUGCACCAUGUGCAAGUAAAUCGGGGCAAAUUCAAGAGCAUAU
rnacentral:lncRNA from 1 species